AAAAAGAUAAGCUAAGAAUCCUAAGCUAAUGGGCUCAUACCCCGUAAAUGAAAAUAAUAUUCUCUUUUUA
rnacentral:tRNA from 1 species